GAUGAACGCUGGCGGCGUGCCUAAUACAUGCAAGUCGAGCGAACAGAUAAGGAGCUUGCUCCUUUGACGUUAGCGGCGGACGGGUGAGUAACACGUGGGUAACCUACCUAUAAGACUGGGAUAACUUCGGGAACCCGGAGCUAAUACCGGAUAAUAUUUCGAACCGCAUGGUUCGAUAGUGAAAGAUGGUUUUGCUAUCACUUAUAGAUGGACCCGCGCCGUAUUAGCUAGUUGGUAAGGUAACGGCUUACCAAGGCGACGAUACGUAGCCGACCUGAGAGGGUGAUCGGCCACACUGGAACUGAGACACGGUCCAGACUCCUACGGGAGGCAGCAGUAGGGAAUCUUCCGCAAUGGGCGAAAGCCUGACGGAGCAACGCCGCGUGAGUGAUGAAGGUCUUCGGAUCGUAAAACUCUGUUAUUAGGGAAGAACAUACGUGUAAGUAACUGUGCACGUCUUGACGGUACCUAAUCAGAAAGCCACGGCUAACUACGUG
rnacentral:rRNA from 1 species